UGAGCAAGUUUCCUCGCAAUGAGAGUCUCCGCCACCAGAUUCGGCGGUGAUCAGUGAUUCACAGACCACACAGCAGUUCCCCUGCCGGCCUGUGGGGUCGCUGCUGAGCUUAACUACUGAACAACCUGUGUUCUAAGUUAAGUCAAUAAAGCGACUUAAACUGCCUACUCGGUCCUUCUUUCAGAGUCCAGGCGGACGCUACAAUAUAUUUAAAACCCCUUCAGUCCAGUAACAGCUGUGUUUAUUUGUUUUUUAAAGUCACUGGUUAGCACUGGUUGAUCUCAGUUCAUAAUAUUGCAGCAAAUAUCCAGCACAACAAACCCAGCUUUAAACCCAAACCAUCGCUGUAUAAACCGAGACAGAGGAGAAGUUUUCUUUCAGAAACAGCGAGGGUUACCUGCGUGUUUACUAAUCCGUUACUCGUUCGUGCUGGCGUUAAGAUCAUUUGCACGUUAGGUGGAUUUACAGGGCUAACGUGUAUUUAUCUUAUUAAUCUUUAGUGAUAGCAGGUAAAAUCUUGGCAAUGAAAGCUAUAUGAGUCUCGUGGCUCGAGUUUAUGGGGCGUUUGGGGACAGUAGAACCAAAACAGCUUAGCUAUGGUGGUGAGCUUCCUGAGGGCUUUGAGGAUAGUUAUCCUGGUGCGUGUCUUUCGUCUGGCCUCUCAGAAGAAAGAUCUGGAGAAGGUCACUAGAAGAAAGGUAUCUGAGAACAAAAGGCGGUAACAAAAAGGAUGGAUUUGAAUUGGAUCUCACCUAUGUCACAGGCACUCUACAGAAAUCCCAUAAAAGAAGCUGCCAUAUUUCUGGACACAAAGCAUCCCGAUCAUUACAGAGUUUACAAUCUCUGCAGUCAAAAAGGCUACGAUCCACUGUUCUUCCAUUACAGAGUGCAACGAGUGAUGAUUGACGACCAUAACGUACCGUCAUUAGACCAACCCACUCGUUAGGACUCCCCCUAUCACUAGUAAUGCCCCAACACACCAGGAGGAUGAAGACUAGCACACUCUUUCUCCGAUACAUGUGAAGUCAGCCACCGCUUCUUUUCGAGCUGCUGCUGAUGCAGCAUUGCCAAGCAGCCAGCACAUUUGGAGGAAAGCGCAGCGGCAGGUGAACCCGAGGAACCUGAGGAAAGUGGUGGGAAAUCUCGAGCCAGGUCAGACCUUGGGUUGGGUUUGGGCAGAGAACCUAAGCUCUUAUUCACAUAUUGAACUUUGUGUUCUUGUGUUCUCAGUGACAUGUUGAACUACACUGCCAGUUUGAGGGAAUGUCAUUGCCAUCCACUGCAAAGGAGGCAAAGGUGUGGGAAAGGGCAAUGGCAGUGAUCUGAAGGUGCGGAUCAUAGUGAAAAGAGAGCAGGUGUUCCAGUGUGUCUGUGCCACGCAGACGAACUGUAGGCUGUUCCCAGAUACUGAAAACAAUGCCGUGGUGAUCAGCUUUCAGGAAGGGCCAGUGGUUUGUGGUGAUGUUAAAGUCAUGUUUGAAUCCAGGGCUGGUCUUCCAAAGGGGUAUGAGGACUAUCCUUUCUAUUUCUGGUUCAACACUUCAUUUGUAGAGAACAACAGGCUCUAUCUGUCAAGGGAGGAACUGGACAACCCACGUAAGUCCAAAACCUGGGACAUCUACAAGGAGGACUUUGGUGUGACCGUGUCUUUCAGUGACCCUGCACUUAUGUAGCAGACAACACUUGCUUGUGUAUCUCAACUAAAACCCUUAAGCCCUGCACAAGGUCUAAAUAUUUGCUCUAAUGUAGGUUUUCACACACUUAUAAAAGGUGAGUGAUGUUUAGGGAUUGGAUUCGGGCAUAUUGUGCCCCUAAAGCUAUAGCUAUAGCUAUAUAACCUCAACUUUAUGUCCAUCCCCCAUCUUCACUGUAAGAGCUUUUUACUGAGCCGUGCAUACAUCACAAUAUUAUGCAUUUGUUUGUCAAAUGUUUUUUUGUCUUUAAAUGAAGACAAAUGUUUGUGUCAGUUUAGCAUAUUAUGCUUCCAAAAUGUAAAUCUUACUCUUUAAGCUUGAGUGUACAUCAAAUAAAGCAAUCGAGGCUGCCACUGUGAAAUGGUCAAUGGUUAUGUGUGCAGAAACAUUUUUUUGUAGUACACAUGUAUUGAAAUAAAUACUAAUGUCUCUGUAA